rnacentral:misc_RNA from 1 species
GAAUCUGUACAGAUGCCGCCUCCACCCAAAGGGCCGGUAUCCGGCUUCGCAGCGGCGGCAAAGGUCCUUUUUGACUCUGCCCAGCGUGUUGGCGCAGUUCAGCCAUUGGAGCACAGCACCAAGGAGUACGCGCAGCAGCUCAAGAAGAUCCAGUCUCAUAGCAAGAAGAGAGGAGGCUCUUUGGGUGGGGUUUCGUAUAAGGUGGCGGAGUUUUUGGCGGCACAGCGACCACCCACUCCUCCGAAAGCUCCCUCUGGACUACUGAAGGAGCGGACGAUCGCGAAGAAGGUGCCCCUCAUUGAGAUUCCUUCUAUCCCAGCAAAGACGACUCCAGAGAAACAUCCGGUCACGGAAAGAGAGACCCGCCCGCCGCUUGAGCUGCCUCCGAGCUUGAGAUCGUUUGUUGCCACCAAGACGGAGCAGAGCACGGUGUCGGCGCCAGCGCCAUCACCAACUCCUGUCGAGGAGGUGUUUAUCACUGAAGACAAGCCCGUUUUCGAGGUUCGCCAGCAAGUGGCGCCACAGCCCGCACCGGAGGCUGUCGUCCAGACACCUGUUGUGUCUGCAGUACCUCAGGAUGCUUUGUCACCUGCCCGCAAGGUGAAGCCGGUGAUUAAUAUUCCCAUAGCCGCGGCGGGCGCCGCCGUUUUAGAAACGGCGGGGGAUGUAGCGGCUGGGGAUUCUGCGCCGGACGUCGCGGUGGCGACGGCGACAGCAGGGUUCUCGGUGGAUGUGUGGGAACAGCAGCGGGAGCGGGAGCUUGAGCGGCUGCAGAAAAUGCAGGAGGAAGAGGAGCAGAGGCGCCUCACGCUGGCGCGAGAGCAGGAGCAUCAAACGCUCGGCAAGGAGUGGGUGAUGCGCCACACUUACAAAGUGUCCUUUGAGGCAGAACUCACUGUGGGCGGCAAGCUCUUGCGCGAGUUGUUUGCCGCAGAUUCCGCUGCCGCUGCUCUUGCGACGUUUCGGAAAAUGAUUGAUGCCGGCGCCCGGGCGUCAGCGCUGCUGCCGGCCGGCCUUGCGUCUGUUGCCUACAGCAUUCGUUCCGCGCACCCCGCCGAGCGGCUCGACCUCAGGCGCGGUCUUCUCGACACUGUAGAGAAGGCGAAGCUUCCUGAACAUGUGAUGCGAAAGGCACACUUACUGGUCUCUGGCGGCACAGAGUUCUUGACGGCGUUCGGCGCUUUGACGGAAGAGGAGAAGCAGCGCCUUGACAGCCGAAUCAUUCUGAAAGCACUCCAGAUCCUCGUGUGGAAUGAGCGGUGGGAAGAGGCGCUCAAGCUCGCCAAGGAAAGUCGCUCCAACUUCCGUAGCGGGAGCGAGGUGGUGGACCUGACCUUGCUGAGGGCAAGUCAGCUGUUAGAGGAGGGACCCCGGAAAGAGGUUGUUGCCUACGCAUCUCGGAGCCUCACGGAGAGCGGGCGCAUGGGGGCGCGCGCGAAGCUUCUCAUCGCUAGCGCCGAAAGGGGCACGUAUCGCCGUACGCUGCUGAGGCAGCUGACGGCGUCGUCGGAUGUCGACGAGAGCGUCUACGCAGAGCUUAUUCUGCGCUCGGACAAGAACCAGACAGAGGGGCUUUUGGCCGAGAUGGCCACCAGGGGACUGAACAACGAAGAUCCUGUGGUGCUUGGCGCUGUCGCGAUGAAGACGCUCAACAGCGAUGUACCGGCAGACGUCUUCAAGGAGAUCCAUCGACAAGUUGCUAUGAUUGGUCUCCUACCAAUUCACAUUCGCGUUGCUACGAUGGCAGCCGCGCUGCAUCCAACGGAGGAGGUGCUGCGGGAGGCGAGUGAAGUAGUGCAGAUGGCCGCUCCAGGGGCUCGCGGCCCGGGCCUGCGCAAGCUGUUGCCGAUUCUAUACCGGCAGAACAUGGUAAAGGAGAUUAUUCAGUUGGCUGACUCGACAAACGAGUCGGUGCCCGUGGCGAAGCUGAUGCCGCGUGCCGUGGCUUUUGUGAAUGAAGCACUUCUGAAGGUAGGGCGUGAGCCGCUGAGUGAUGUGCGUGUCAGCGACAUUGGUUUCUCGCGCGUGAGCGAAGGCGCAGCUGCCAGCCCGUCCAGUAAGUUAUAUGAGGAGACGGCAAGCGUGAUUGCCGACAUUUCUGGCCUGACGGAGAAGAUGCUCCUCUAUGCAAAAGAACGGCAGUGGCCCAAAGCACUAGGUGUUGUGAAGGGACUGCCAACAGUCAUCAAGGCUGAGCCGUCAGCGGUGACUCUGCUUUACAAUUGUGCCUUGGGCGCUGCGGUGGAAUACCCAGAGACGGUCAAAGAUAUCUACGCACUGAUGGCUAAUCGUAGGGUGAAAGUGAACGCGACAACGGUCAACACGGUGCUAAGUAGCCUAAGCAAGGCAUCGUUGUGGCAGGAGGCCAUCGAUUUCUUCGACACCACAUCUCUCGAACAGCGAGACAACAAUACUUAUCUCGUGCGCUUUGCGCUGCUAGGAAAGCAGAAUCUGUGGAAGCAGGCGAUUGAAGCCUACGACGAGACGCGUGCGGCCAUCCCGAAACUGCCUGCUGCCAUGUUUUCUCUCAUCAUCAGUACGACAAGCGGGCACGACUGGCACGCCACUUUACGCAUUUUUCAGGACAUGCUGAGGUCGUACGGCUCUGGUGUGAAGGACAGCGUCGUUACACAGGUGAUUCGCUGCCUGGAGAAGAACGGCAAGACAGCUGAGAUUGCAAAGCUGGAAAAGGAGUUGGCAAAGCGGAAGAAGAAGAAGUAAGUCUCUUCGCUGUGAUGGAGGUUCGGCUGCGUUUCGACGCGCUCAGGGGUCACGAAGCUCAUCACAUGUGCUCCAGUGGUUUGGUGUGUGUGCAUGAUUGCCAAAUCGUCGUUUUCGCACAUUGCAGUGAGGUUUUUUAUUUCCGCUUUGUUGAUGCGUGCGUCAUCCUCGCUGUUUUCCUUCGACAUAUGUUGGGAGCUCCCUGUCCUCUCUUACGAUACGAUAGGAUAAAAACGAACUGGUUAUUGGUGACGCGGCGAUGAUAUACUGUUCUAUGUGGUGUGAGCACACCAGGCAGCUG